UACGGGGGGGGCAAGCGUUGUUCGGAAUUACUGGGCGUAAAGGGCUCGUAGGCGGCCAACUAAGUCAGACGUGAAAUCCCUCGGCUUAACCGGGGAACUGCGUCUGAUACUGGAUGGCUAGAGUUUGGGAGAGGGAUGCGGAAUUCCAGGUGUAGCGGUGAAAUGCGUAGAUAUCUGGAGGAACACCGGUGGCGAAGGCGGCAUCCUGGACCAACACUGACGCUGAGGAGCGAAAGCGUGGGGAGCGAACAGG
rnacentral:rRNA from 1 species